rnacentral:rRNA from 1 species
CCUACGGGCGGCUGCAGUCGAGAAUCUUUCGCAAUGCCCGGAAGGGUGACGAAGCGACGCCGCGUGUGGGAAGAAGGCCUUCGGGUUGUAAAUCACUGUCGGGAGUUAAGAAGUGUAAGGGGGUGAAUAGCCCUCUUACUUGACGUUAGCUCCGGAGGAAGCCACGGCUAACUCUGUGCCAGCAGCCGCGGUAAUACAGAGGUGGCAAGCGUUGUUCGGAAUUAUUGGGCGUAAAGAGCACGUAGGCGGCCCUACAAGUCAGCUGUGAAAUCCUUCUGCUCAACGGAAGAACGGCAGUUGAUACUAUAGGGCUGGAGUGCGGGAGGGGAGAGUGGAACUUCUGGUGGAGCGGUGAAAUGCGUAGAUAUCAGAAGGAACAUCGGCGGCGAAAGCGACUCUCUGGCCCGUAACUGACGCUGAGGUGCGAAAGCUAGGGGAGCAAACGGGAUUAGAUACCCUGGUAGUCC